GUAGAUAGGUUUGGAGUGGAAGUGUAGCGAUACAUGGAGCGGACAAAUACUAAUCGAUCGAGGACUUAACCAAA
rnacentral:rRNA from 5 species